AGAGGGAAGAGCUCAAAUUUUGAAUCUGGCGUCUUCGGCGUCCGAGUUGUAAUCUAAAGAAGUGUUUUCCGCGAUGGACCGUGCACAAGUCUCCUGGAACGGUGCGUCAUAGAGGGUGAGAAUCCCGUAUAUGGCACGGACUACCAUUGCUCUGUGAUACACUCUCGACGAGUCGAGUUGUUUGGGAAUGCAGCUCAAAAUGGGUGGUAAAUUCCAUCUAAAGCUAAAUAUUGGCGAGAGACCGAUAGCGAACAAGUACCGUGAGGGAAAGAUGAAAAGCACUUUGGAAAGAGAGUGAAACAGUACGUGAAAUUGUUGAAAGGGAAACGCUUGAAGUCAGUCGCGCUCAUUUGGAUUCAGCCUGGCUUUUGCCUGGUUUACUUCCUUGUGGGCGGGUCAACGUCAGUUUUGACCGGAGGAAAAAGCUUUGAGAAAUGUGGCAGCUUGCUGUGUUAUAGUCUCUUGGUGUAUACUUCGGUUGGGACUGAGGACCGCAGCGCGCCUUACGGCCGGGGUUCGCCCACGUACGCGCUUAGGAUGUUGGCAUAAUGGCUUUAAGCGACCCGUCUUGAAACACGGACCAAGGAGUCUAACAUGUGCGCGAGUGUUUGGGUGUUAAACCCGAGCGCGAAAUGAAAGUGAAAGGUUGGGAACACUUAUGUGUGCACCGACGCCCGGAGCAGACCUUCUGUGACGCCCCUGCGGUAGAGCGUAUAUGUUGGGACCCGAAAGAUGGUGAACUAUGCCUGAAUAGGGUGAAGCCAGAGGAAACUCUGGUGGAGGCUCGUAGCGAUUCUGACGUGCAAAUCGAUCGUCAAAUUUGGGUAUAGGGGCGAAAGACUAAUCGAACCAUCUAGUAGCUGGUUCCC
rnacentral:rRNA from 1 species